UCCUACGGGAGGCAGCAGUCGGGAAUUUUGGGCAAUGGGCGAAAGCCUGACCCAGCAACGCCGCGUGAAGGAUGAAGCUUCUCGGAGUGUAAACUUCAUAAGAAUGGGACGAAUAAGGAGGGGUUAACACCCCCUUUGAUGACGGUACCAUUUGUAAGCUCCGGCUAACUCCGUGCCAGCAGCCGCGGUAAUACGGGGGGAGCAAGCGUUGUUCGGAUUUACUGGGCGUAAAGGGCGCGUAGGCGGCGCAACAAGUCACUUGUGAAAUCUCCGGGCUUAACCCGGAGCGGCCAAGUGAUACUGUCGUGCUAGAGUGCGGAAGGGGCUACUGGAAUUCUCGGUGUAGCGGUGAAAUGCGUAGAUAUCGAGAGGAACACCUGCGGCGAAGGCGGGUAGCUGGGCCGACACUGACGCUGAGGCGCGAAAGCCAGGGGAGCGAACGGGAUUAGAUACCCCGGUAGUCCUGGCCUUAAACGAUGGAUACUUGGUGUCCGGGGUUACAUAGUCCCCGGGUGCCGGCGCUAACGCAUUAAGUAUCCCGCCUGGGGAGUACGGUCGCAAGACUGAAACUCAAAGGAAUUGACGGA
rnacentral:rRNA from 1 species